UCCAGGAGUGGUGGCACGUGACUGUAGUUCCAGCUACUCAGGAGGCUGAGGCUGGGAGGAUCGCUUGAGCCCAGGAGUUCUGGGCUGUAGUGUGCUAUGCCUGUCAGGUGUCCGCACUAAAUUUGGCAUCAAUAUGGUGACCUCUCAGAGGCAGGGAACUAGCAGGUUGCCUAAGGAGGGGUGACCUAGCCUAGGUCAGAAACAGAGCAGGUCAAAAUUCCCAUGCUGAUCUGUAGUGGGAUUGUGCCUAUAGAUAGCCACUGAACUUCAGCCUGAGCAACAUAGCAAGACCAUAUCUCU
rnacentral:SRP_RNA from 1 species